UCUAAGUACCCCGAGGAAAAGAAAUCAACCGAGAUUCCCCCAGUAGCGGCGAGCGAACGGGGAGCAGCCCAGAGCCUGAAUCAGUGUGUGUGUUAGUGGAAGCGUCUGGAAAGGCGUGCGAUACAGGGUGACAGCCCCGUACACAAAAAUGCACAUACUGUGAGCUCGAUGAGUAGGGCGGGACACGUGGUAUCCUGUCUGAAUAUGGGGGGACCAUCCUCCAAGGCUAAAUACUCCUGACUGACCGAUAGUGAACCAGUACCGUGAGGGAAAGGCGAAAAGAACCCCGGCGAGGGGAGUGAAAAAGAACCUGAAACCGUGUACGUACAAGCAGUGGGAGCACGCUUAGGCGUGUGACUGCGUACCUUUUGUAUAAUGGGUCAGCGACUUAUAUUCUGUAGCAAGGUUAACCGAAUAGGGGAGCCGAAGGGAAACCGAGUCUUAACUGGGCGUUAAGUUGCAGGGUAUAGACCCGAAACCCGGUGAUCUAGCCAUGGGCAGGUUGAAGGUUGGGUAACACUAACUGGAGGACCGAACCGACUAAUGUUGAAAAAUUAGCGGAUGACUUGUGGCUGGGGGUGAAAGGCCAAUCAAACCGGGAGAUAGCUGGUUCUCCCCGAAAGCUAUUUAGGUAGCGCCUCGUGAAUUCAUCUCCGGGGGUAGAGCACUGUUUCGGCAAGGGGGUCAUCCCGACUUACCAACCCGAUGCAAACUGCGAAUACCGGAGAAUGUUAUCACGGGAGACACACGGCGGGUGCUAACGUCCGUCGUGAAGAGGGAAACAACCCAGACCGCCAGCUAAGGUCCCAAAGUCAUGGUUAAGUGGGAAACGAUGUGGGAAGGCCCAGACAGCCAGGAUGUUGGCUUAGAAGCAGCCAUCAUUUAAAGAAAGCGUAAUAGCUCACUGGUCGAGUCGGCCUGCGCGGAAGAUGUAACGGGGCUAAACCAUGCACCGAAGCUGCGGCAGCGACGCUUAUGCGUUGUUGGGUAGGGGAGCGUUCUGUAAGCCUGUGAAGGUGUGCUGUGAGGUAUGCUGGAGGUAUCAGAAGUGCGAAUGCUGACAUAAGUAACGAUAAAGCGGGUGAAAAGCCCGCUCGCCGGAAGACCAAGGGUUCCUGUCCAACGUUAAUCGGGGCAGGGUGAGUCGACCCCUAAGGCGAGGCCGAAAGGCGUAGUCGAUGGGAAACAGGUUAAUAUUCCUGUACUUGGUGUUACUGCGAAGGGGGGACGGAGAAGGCUAUGUUGGCCGGGCGACGGUUGUCCCGGUUUAAGCGUGUAGGCUGGUUUUCCAGGCAAAUCCGGAAAAUCAAGGCCGAGGCGUGAUGACGAGGCACUACGGUGCUGAAGCAACAAAUGCCCUGCUUCCAGGAAAAGCCUCUAAGCAUCAGGUAACAUCAAAUCGUACCCCAAACCGACACAGGUGGUCAGGUAGAGAAUACCAAGGCGCUUGAGAGAACUCGGGUGAAGGAACUAGGCAAAAUGGUGCCGUAACUUCGGGAGAAGGCACGCUGAUACGUAGGUGAAGCGACUUGCUCGUGGAGCUGAAAUCAGUCGAAGAUACCAGCUGGCUGCAACUGUUUAUUAAAAACACAGCACUGUGCAAACACGAAAGUGGACGUAUACGGUGUGACGCCUGCCCGGUGCCGGAAGGUUAAUUGAUGGGGUUAGCGCAAGCGAAGCUCUUGAUCGAAGCCCCGGUAAACGGCGGCCGUAACUAUAACGGUCCUAAGGUAGCGAAAUUCCUUGUCGGGUAAGUUCCGACCUGCACGAAUGGCGUAAUGAUGGCCAGGCUGUCUCCACCCGAGACUCAGUGAAAUUGAACUCGCUGUGAAGAUGCAGUGUACCCGCGGCAAGACGGAAAGACCCCGUGAACCUUUACUAUAGCUUGACACUGAACAUUGAGCCUUGAUGUGUAGGAUAGGUGGGAGGCUUUGAAGUGUGGACGCCAGUCUGCAUGGAGCCGACCUUGAAAUACCACCCUUUAAUGUUUGAUGUUCUAACGUGGACCCGUGAUCCGGGUUGCGGACAGUGUCUGGUGGGUAGUUUGACUGGGGCGGUCUCCUCCUAAAGAGUAACGGAGGAGCACGAAGGUUGGCUAAUCCUGGUCGGACAUCAGGAGGUUAGUGCAAUGGCAUAAGCCAGCUUGACUGCGAGCGUGACGGCGCGAGCAGGUGCGAAAGCAGGUCAUAGUGAUCCGGUGGUUCUGAAUGGAAGGGCCAUCGCUCAACGGAUAAAAGGUACUCCGGGGAUAACAGGCUGAUACCGCCCAAGAGUUCAUAUCGACGGCGGUGUUUGGCACCUCGAUGUCGGCUCAUCACAUCCUGGGGCUGAAGUAGGUCCCAAGGGUAUGGCUGUUCGCCAUUUAAAGUGGUACGCGAGCUGGGUUUAGAACGUCGUGAGACAGUUCGGUCCCUAUCUGCCGUGGGCGCUGGAGAACUGAGGGGGGCUGCUCCUAGUACGAGAGGACCGGAGUGGACGCAUCACUGGUGUUCGGGUUGUCAUGCCAAUGGCACUGCCCGGUAGCUAAAUGCGGAAGAGAUAAGUGCUGAAAGCAUCUAAGCACGAAACUUGCCCCGAGAUGAGUUCUCCCUGACCCUUUAAGGGUCCUGAAGGAACGUUGAAGACGACGACGUUGAUAGGCCGGGUGUGUAAGCGCAGCGAUGCGUUGAGCUAACCGGUACUAAUGAACCGUGAGGCUUAACCUUACAACGCCGAAG
rnacentral:rRNA from 1 species